rnacentral:rRNA from 1 species
UACGUAGGGGGCAAGCGUUGUCCGGAAUCAUUGGGCGUAAAGCGCGUGUAGGCGGCCCGGUAAGUCCGCUGUGAAAGUCCAGGGCUCAACCCUGGGAUGCCGGUCGAUACUGCCGGACUAGAGUUCGGAAGAGGCGAGUGGAAUUCCCGGUGUAGCGGUGAAAUGCGUUGAUAUCAUCAGGAAUACCGGAGGCGAAGGCGGCUCACUGGGUCUCUUCUGACGCUGAGGAACGAAAGCUAGGGGAGCAAACGGG